rnacentral:rRNA from 1 species
UCGGGAAUUUUGGGCAAUGGGCGAAAGCCUGACCCAGCAACGCCGCGUGAGGGAUGAAGUAUUUCGGUAUGUAAACCUCGAAAGAAUGGGAAGAAUAAAUGACGAUACCCUUUAUAAGCUCCGGCUAACUACGUGCCAGCAGCCGCGGUAAUACGUAGGGAGCGAGCGUUGUUCGGAUUCACUGGGUUUAAAGGGUGCGUAGGUGGGUAUGUAAGUCAGUGGUGAAAUCCCCGAGCUUAACUUGGGAACUGCCAUUGAUAAUAUAUUUCUGGAAUAACGUAGAGGUAAGCUAAAUAUGUCAUGUAGCGGUGAAAUGCUUAGAUAUGACAUGGAACACCAAUUGCG